UUAAGAAGCUAAAAAAUAAUUUUUUUUCUAAGAAAAUUACAAAAGAUGGAAAGAUACAAAAAUAAACGCAAACGGCUAGAUGAAAUGUCAAGUAGACAUUUGAGAAGACUCGUGCAAACUGAAAUUAAUUUGCUAGAAUUUGGAGAUCAAGAAAGACUAUCUAACAUGUGUACAUUGCCAAGUACAAGUGCUAAUACAUCAUCUUGUGUGAAUGAAUCUGACCAUCGUAGAGAGAUUGCAUACAAUAGAACUAGAAAUAACAAUUUUGACGUAUUCGACAUGUUACAUGAAUCAAAUGAAUUAAGUGACAAUGUUGACAUAUUCGACAUGUUACAUGAAUCAAAUGAAUUAAAUGACUCAAAUGAAUCAAAUAACUCUAAUGAAUCAAAUAAAAUAAAAAAUGACGUAGAUUAUUUAAUUAAUUUAAAUAUUGAAAAUGUAGAAAAAAAGAAAAAUUUUAAAUCUUUAUUACGUGACUGGGCUGUAACUAACAAUGUUAAUCAUGUAGCAUUAAGUGAACUUAUUAAAAUUCUUCGUGGUCAUGAAUGCUUUUCUAAUUUACCAGUUGAUCCUAGAACUUUAUUGAGUACGCCAAAAAACACCGAUAUCAAAACUGUUUUACCUAGUUUAUAUUCUCAUUUUGGAGCUCGUAUUGCAUUAGAGAUAUAUUUUAGAAAUUAUUAUCAUAGAUUUAAUAAUAUAAAUACUAUAGAUUUGGGAAUUAAUAUCGAUGGGUUACCUCUAUCAAAAUCUUCAACAUCAUCAUUAUGGCCAAUCUUAGGAUGUGUUUUACCAUAUAAAGAAGUUUUUAUAAUUGGUGCAUAUUAUAGCUCUAAGAAACCAACAAACUGUAAUAAAUUUUUACAAAAUUUUAUUGAAGAAAUAACAGACUUAAUAAAUAAUGGAAUUUUUCUGUGUGAGAAAUUUAACAACAUUAAAAUUAAACAAAUUUUAUGCGAUGCUCCUGCAAAAUCUUUUAUAUUAAAUAUAAAAGGUCACAAUGGUUACUUUAGUUGCACAAAAUGUAGAGUUGAAGGUGAAUAUAGAAACAGACGUAUUUGUUUUGCAGAUAUUCAUGCUACAAAAAGAACAAAUGAGGAUUUCUUAAAUGAAACAGAUGAGAAUUUUCAUUUAGGCUCUACUAAUUUAAAACAGAUACCAGGAUUAGAUUUUAUAGAAAAUAUUCCUUUAGAUUACAUGCAUUUACUUUGCCUUGGAAUUAUGAGAAAAUGCUUAUAUAUGUGGACAGCUGGUGACUUAGAAAUUCGUUUACAACAUCACAAAUGUCAAACAAUAUCAAACAAUUUAGAAACUUUUAAACGGACUAUACCAGUUGAAUUUUGUAGAAAACCAAGAUCUUUGGAUUUUUUGAAACAAUGGAAAGCAACUGAAUAUAGGCAAAUUUUAUUAUAUACAGGCCCUGUUGUUUUUCAAGGAAUACUUCCAAACGAUUUAUAUCAUCACUUUUUAACACUUCAUGUAGCUAUUAGAAUUUUAUGCUGUAAAAGUUUAUGUGAGGAUUAUUUGAAUUAUGCUGAAGAAUUAUUAAUUCAUUAUGUUAAUAGUUUUAAAAUUUUUGUAUGGAGAAUACAAUGUUUCUCAUAAUGUUCAUGGUUUGAUUCAUUUAUGCGAUGAUGUUCGAAUACAUGGCACUUUAGAUUCAUUUAGUGCUUUCAAAUAUGAGAAUUUUUUACAAAAAUAAAAAAGAAAUUUGCAAAGCUGAUAAACCAUUACACAAUUACAUAGAAGAUACAUGGAAAAAAAUAAUGCUACAUGUAAUAAAAUUUUGGCACACGAAAAAAGUUCUGAUAUACAAUUACGCAAUAAACAUUAUAAUGGUCCACUUAUUCACGACUGCAUAAAUCUACAGUAUAAAAUUAUCAGUAUUUCACAGUAUACAAUAAAAGUGUAUGACAAUGCUAAUAAUUGUUGUUUUAUGAAAGAUAAAAGUAUCAUAAAAAUUGAAAAUAUUGCAUAUUGUAACACAAGAAAAUGCUUAGUUGCUAUCGGCAAAAAAUUUAUAAUUAAGGAAGAUUUGUUUCAUAUUCCAUGCUUAUCAUCAUUACUUCAAAUUUAUAUAGUUAGUAAUUUGUCUGAAUUAUGUACAUGGCCCAUAUCGAAUAUCAACAAGAAAAUGUUAAUAAUCCCACACUUAAACGAUACAUUUGUCGUUGUACCAUUAUUGCAUAUUGAAUAAUUAAUAAAUGAUAAUUUAUAUUAAAUGUACAUAAAUAUGUGUUGUAUAUGAUAUUAUAUUAAUAUUACUUAGUAUGUAUAUGUAUAUGCUAUUGCAUGCUAUUGCAUUAUAAUAUUACUUGGUACAUAUAUUGUAGGGAUAUUACAUGUAAUAUAUUAAUUGUGAUAAGUUGAGAAAGAGAGGCGUUUCGACAAAGAAAUAAACAAUUAGGAAAACACAAGGCUCGGGGAAGCAUCCGCACAUAAUAAAGGCAAAAUUAUAAAGGAGAAAAAACGACGAGAGCGAAGUGCAGUCGUUCUCAAGCGUGUUUAUAAGGAAAAUAAAAAAAUAAUGUUUUAAUAAAAUGAUAAUUGCCUAAUGAUUAAGGGUUGAUUUAAAGAUGAUUUUUUUAAUUGUAAAAUGUUCAUCAAUAAUACAUCUGUAGGAAGAUAAUGUAGGAAUAUAGUGUUAGAACAUAAUCUAAUAAGUAUAGGAGAGUUGUGUUUUCGUGGCGAUGAUCGAGACAAUAGCGAUCGACCAAAACACGACGUCAAGACGUGUCCGGGCAUCGGCGGCCGUUGGCCAGCAAGACGAGCGAGCGAGAGCAGCUCGCGUGAAUCGCCAGAGAAGAGCAGAAAGUCGUUUACCACGGAACAGAUCGGUAAUCAAGUUGUACACAUACUAUCGUGUGUUAAUAUAUCUAUCCUGACAUUAUUAUUUUAUUUUAUAUUAAUUGGGAAACCUUUCACCAAUUUCCCUUACACAUCAAUAAUUUUCAAGUUAUAAGUAAUUUAAAAAAGAAUUUUUUUUGUAAACUAAACUUUGUGAAGUUAAAAAAGUAACAUCAUUAUAUUCUUUAGUUAAUUUUAAGUGAAAUUUACUUUAAUAAAAUUUGAAUUUAAGGCUUAGAUACAAAGUUACGUAAUGAUAAAAACUAGAAGUUUGAAAAAAUAAUCUUUUAUGACAUUUUCCAUGAAGAAAAAUUGUCUCUAAAUUUGUCAAAAUAAUCUAUCUUUUAUCAUUAGAGUGAUUAUUACCAGACACUGUGAUACUUAAAAUACAGGCAACAAUCAAAAUAAAUAAUAAGUAUUACAUUGUCGAAUUUGAAG
rnacentral:misc_RNA from 1 species